rnacentral:lncRNA from 1 species
GAGAGUCCCCAUGGCCCCAGCAGCAAGCCCCUGCCUCUCUCCUGUCCGGCUGCUGCCCCACUCUGAGGCCCAGGUUCUCUUCUCCCAAGAGCGAGUGCGUUGGGAUCCAGACCUCGAGUAACCCUGUGCGAUGGCAGGCCUUCACCCUGGGACUGGCCAAGGGCCCUAGCCCCUUCAUCAGAGGUCACCCAUGACUCUCCCGCCCUCAUCCGUUUCUGCACAUUCCUCGCCAUGCCCAUCUCCCUCCUGCCCAUCCCGGAGCCCACCGGACUGCACAGCCAGCAUCAGCACAGCCUGUCCUGCUGAGUGGGGCUGCCUGCAGUCCAUGGCACGAGAUAGAGGCAGAACCUGGAGGCAGGCCGAGGUCGCCGCUACUCCUGGCCACUUCCAGACCACCCUGCCACCAUCCUCCCUUCAGUCCACGGUCCAGACUUCCUGGAAGGCACCUUGCAGCCUUCGUUUGCCGAAUUGUGAGAUGCGUUUGCUCACCGGCCUCCUCCCGCUGAGCGUCCCUGGUGUCUGACCCACCUCUGUUUCCUUCUGUAUGCACAGGUGUUUGUUGCAUGACUGAACGACAUUGAGGAGGGGACACGGCUCAGUAGAAACUUCCUUUAAGAUGCAUACAAGCUGCGGCAAAGCAAAGUGUGUUUACAAGGAGUUCCUGUGUGGGCUGGGCAGGGGCAUCAGCUGCUCUUACUGGGGGAGGAUGGUAGUGAUGCAAACACAAGAGGUAGGGUUGGCAGCCGCACCCCUUGCAACUAUCAGGGCAGCCUUGGGGCUUUCACAGGCGUGGUGAGGACCUGUCCUUGCGUGUUUCCCUCUUACCAUGUUACCAUGGAAACACACCAUGCAUGGACCUUACCCUGCGGAUAUGCCCCCUACGUGGCAAAAGGGAUGUGCGGAUGUGAAGGACCAGGAGAUGUGUGACAAUCCUGGGGGACCCAGGUGGGUCCUAAAUGUCACUUCAAGGGUCCUUUUAAGAGGAAGGCAGGUGGCCAGGCUUAUGCCUAUAAUCCCAGCACUUUGGGAGACCGAGGUGAGAGGGUCACUUGAGGCCAAGGCCAGCCUGGGCAAAAUAGCAAGACCUCGUCUCUACAGAAAAAAAUUAAAAAUUAGCCGGGCAUAGUGGCGUGCCCCUGUAGUCUCAGCUACCCGGGAGGCUGAAGCAGGAGGAUCACCUGAGCCCAGGAGAUGGGGGCUGCAGUGAAGCAUGAUGGCACCACUGCACUCCAGCCCUGCAUUCAAGCGCGGGUGACAAAGCGAGACCCAAUCUCAAAAAAGAAAAAGAGAGGGAGGCAGGAGACAGGUGUGAGGAGGGGAAGGGCUGCGAGACAGAGGCUUCGAGGAAAGCAGAAGGUCUCCAGAAGCCUGCAGAGGCCAGGAGGGAGCCUCCCAUGGGGCCUCUGGGAGGAGCCUGCUCUGCCGACGCCUAGAUGGAGCCCCUAACUCUCCUUCUGGAUUUCUGACUCUGGAGCUGUGAGAAACGAACUUCUGUUGGUUGAAGUCACGGGUUGGUGGUUAGUUAUUACAACAGAAACAGGAAACCGGUAUGUCGGGUCGCUCCCAGCCUCAAGCCCCAGCUCUAUUUUCCCAUAAAAGCUAAGUUCUCACCAUGAGGUGCUCUAGCUGCCAGGGUGGAGGAGGGGGUGUCACCCCACACUGAUUUGUGGGCCCAGGGGUGAGGACACCUCACCUGCCACCCAGAACCGGGCCCACAUCUCCCGGCGAGGCCUCCGUGGCUGCAUUGCCGGCAAUGACUAGGUGUUUUAUGCUGAACGUUGAAGAUAUUUUCCACUGGAGAUUUAACACGGAACAUCAAGAACCAUUGAAAUCACUCAUAUCAAUUGAAGAUACAAUAAUUGAACCCCAUAAAGAUUACUGAGAAGCUGGUGGAGCUAUAAGGAGAGGCAUAAAUAGAGAUAAAUUGGGCCCCCUCCACCCCCCCAGCCUCCCCCUGGAAGGAGCUCAUUAGAGAUGCUCACGGGGCCACUCAGUGACAGAGACCCACAGCAGGGAGAGGGGGGCCGGGGGGUUCCCACCACAGAGGGGCCUGAGCAGAUCCAGAAGCUUCUGUGCAUCCGUUAAUGGUCUUGAUCGGGUCCUUGGUGAAAGCGUGGAGCGAAGGGACCCAGGGGAUGACAGCUCUGUUCUCCAGCGGCCUAGGCAUCUCCUUUCCUCUAAGGGCCGCACCCCGAGCCCUGAUCUGGGCCGCACACGGAGCCCCGAUCAUAGCCAUACACUGAGUCCUAACCCAGGUCAUAAUCCAAGCCUCAUCCUAGGCAAAGUCUAAGCCAUGAUUCUGGCCCCAAACUGAGCCCUGCUCUGGUCACAGUCUGAGCUCUGACCAAGGUCACAUACUGAAGGCGGACUGUGACUGGAGGCUGAGUCCUGAGCCCUGGUGUCUCAUCUCAGGCGGGUCCAAGCUCCAGGACUGUGGGUGCUCCCAGAUGUCCACCACAUCCGCUCACGCUGCCCUCUCUCUGAGCUUCUCACAGGCCGGGCCCUGGCUGGGCUCUGCAUAUGGAAAGAAAGGCCCCCUGUCCUCAGGGCAUUUGACUCCCCGCAGGGAGGCAACACCUGAACAGUGAUAUCAGCCAAGUACUGUGGAUGACGGGAGUCCCCAGCCCGGCUCUCCCUGCCCUCCCAUGCCCAGGCCUCCAGCUCUGACCCUGAGAGCCCUCCAGCCGCCGUCUCCGCCCUCUGCCAGGCAGAUCAGAGCACUGCUCCCACCUCUGAGCGGGGCCCCUGUCCUGGUCUGCUGUGUGUAGAGGCUGAGGUCGAACAGGCUGAGCACCGGGGGCCUGGGGUGCACUCCCUGAGUGGCAGGGCAGGGCCCCCUCCAUGGGGCCUCACUCCUGCUUGUCAUGGUUCAGAAGAGCUGAACGGGGAAGCAAAAGGCACAAAGUCAGCCUGUCUGGCUUUGCAAUCUUGGCCUCCCCUCGGCUGCAUGGCACAGAGAGGUUUCUUGCCAUCUCAGAGCUUGGCCUGCCUAGCUGCAAGGGGAUGAUGACGGCAUCUGACUCCUGGGCUGUGAGUGUCAUCGGAGGGGACCCAGGCAAUCACUGACAAGUUCCCGGGGCAUGAAGCCCUCAUGAAAGGGAACACAACCAUGAUCAGGUCCUAGGAGCGCCACACUGCCCUGGACUCCAGACCCGUGAUCCUCCCAUGCUGCCCCCAGGGUCUCUCAAGGGCCCACAGCCUCCCUGCCCUGCUCUGUGCCCCCUUCCUGGGCCCUCCCGCCUGUGGACCCUUCUCCGUGCUGUUCCCUCCUCCUCUCCCAGAUCAACUCUCUAUUUCCCGGCUCCCUGGGCACAGGUGUGAGGCUAGCAGCUGUGACUGUGCAGGGUGAACGGCUGAUGCCCCAGCCACCCUCCCAGGCUCGUAAAUCUGCCCUAUUUCCCUCAAGCCGAUACUCAGCCAGGCCGCCUGCACAAUCCAAUAUAUUUCAGUUACAAGCUGGUCUAUUACCUGAUUCAUAACCGAUCUGUCAACCUGAGAAAUCAAUGCAUCCGUGGGAUGCCACAUACAUAACACCUGGUGCAUAAUUGAAUUCAGGCUCCCUGGCAUCUCAGUGCAUGGCAGGUGCUGCUGGGAACCUCAGCCCCCUCCCCUGGGACAGGGGUAGGGGCAGGGAGAACGUGCCUCCUGGCUGCGGCACCGGGGUGCAGCUCCGGAAGGACGUCUGCAGUUCUAGGCGUGGCUGGGUGAUUCGGAUCCUGGGCAUCCUUGCCAUUCUGUCUCAACUCUAUUUGAAGAGACCUCAGAGCCUUUUCACCCAGCCUCCCACACCUGAGCAGUGGGCCCCCUCUCUGCCUGCACACUCACUGCCUCUGAGCGGCCCAGCCCCCACUCUCUGCCUGCACACUCACUGCCUCUGAGCGGCCCAGCCCCCACUCUCUGCCUGCACACUCACUGCCUCUGAGCGGCCCAGCCCAUUGCAGACAGUACAGACCCACAGAGCCAAAAGUGCUGCAUUUACCAGGCCCCUCCCUAAGAUAUCAAAAUGCCAGCUACUCAGAACCUUCGGGGGAAGGUAUUAUUGGCUCAUUGUAUAAAUGAGGAGUCUGAAGUCAAGGAAACGACCUUCCUAAGUUUGAACCACCAAGCUUGAUUUGAAACCAGAGUCAGAACCCAGACCCACGACCUCUCGUGCAUCUGAGAUGAAGCCCAAGGGGCUGCUCCAGGGUGGUCAGCAGGGGCGGGGCCAGGGUGGUCAGCAGGGGCGGGGCCAGGGGCGGGGACUCCACAAACAGGAGCUUUCGGGGUCUACAGGGUCUGCAUGUGCAGGGGGCGCUGUCUCCCUCUGGUUGGUGUAUUUGUGGGGCAGAAACUCAAGUGAUUGGGCAAGACCCUGCCCGUGUCCAGCUGCCACGUGGCCUUGGGAGGUCUCCUGUCCCCUCCAGUCCACAAGGUCAUCUGAGCUCCUGGUUCCUGUGGCUGGACAUCCUCGCUGACCUCACCUCUGGCGGAUUCAGAGAGGCCAGGAGGUGCAGGCUGGGUGCCCUUGGCAGCCAAACCUUUCUGGAAGCCCAGGGCUGACUUCAGCUGGGUGCCCUUGGCACCUGGACCUUCUAGAAGCCUGGGGGCUGACUCCAGCUGGGUGCCCUCGGCACCUGGACCUUUCUGGAAGCCUGGGGGCUGACUCCGGCACCAGACACAGCUGGGGCUCCCCUCCCUCAUCCCGCCUCGCACCCUGUCAUUGAUUCUCCUUUUCAUGAUCGUGGCACCCACGAUGGAAAUGGCAUCUCAGCUCCUGCAAGGAUCUAUACCCCAAAAUAGCAAAAUAAUUCCCAUGGUGCGAGAAUGCUUCAGACAGAGGCAUGCGGGCUGGGGUUAUUGGGGCCAUGUUUCCACAUGCACCUAAUGUAUGGACACAUCUAUUCCUGGGGCCGCCAAAUCAAUCCAUGUGGAAGCCUGGGGAGCUGUGCGUCUCCCAUGUGUCAGAGCGUGGAGGGAGCGCCGGGGGUGGGGGGCAGGGGCAGAGGCCCAGAUGCUGGGUCCACCAUGGAGGCUGCCAGGUGCUGAGGGGGGUCAUUAAAUACACCCCCCACACCCCUCACUUGUGUGAAGGUCAGAGGACAAAGGACGGACAAAGGCAUCUGGUCACCUCUAAAGGGCCACACAGAUGCCUCUCACCCUCACCCCACAUCACAAAUGAGAAACUGAGGCCCGGUCAGGAAGGCAUCAGGUGGACAGGGGCCAGGACCCCAUUGCUUCAGGCUCUGUGAGUGGCUCCCUCGUGCCAACACAUGCACACAUAUGCACACACAGAGACACACAUGGACACACACACGUGCACAGACAUAUGCACACACACACAAACACGCAUAUACACAGACAUACACACGGAGACACAUGGACACACACACAGGCACAUAUGUGCACAGAGACACACAUGGACACACAGGUACACACAGACACCACAAUGCAGAUAUAUGCACAUGCGCAAGGAACACGUGCAUGCACACAUACACAUGCUCACACACAUAUGCACACACAUGCACACACAUGCUCACACAUGCUCACAUACAUAUGCACACACACAUGCUCACAUACAUAUACACACACACAUGCUCACACCGAAGCAAGACACACACAAACACACACAGGCACUUACACACCGGGAAGCACUUCUCAGGGGGUUGUGGCAUCUCUGCCUCUGGUGGCCUCUCCUGCAGGGGUCUCCACUUGGUGGUGUUGGGGGCCCCACCUGAGCCCUGGCGAGACCUCGCCUCCCCUCUCCCGGCUACAGGACAUGCCAGGGCAGGGUGUGGCUUGUUCACCGAAGCAAGCCCCAGGGUGGAUGCAGGGCUCAGGGAAGCCUCUCCCAAGGGAGCACAGGCAAGCGCCCUCAGUGGGGCACAGCUGGAGCAGCGCCUCCAUGGCCACAUGGCUCUGGGGUGAAGCCCGGCUCUUGGGCUGAAGGCCCCUGGUACCUGAGGGCCUCCCAUAUUCCCAUCUGGAAAGUGGGGUUGGCAAUGAUGCCCAUCUGCACAGCCAAGCCAGUCCAACACCUGGUGCCAAGCUGGCACCAGGCACACGGGCACACAGACCCCAGAGUGGACGGUGGGAUGUGAGGGGAAGGGGGAAGGACAGGUGACAGCAGAGGCAGGCUCUGAGCCAGAGUCAUGCAGGACGCACUGCCCAGCACUCCUUUCCCCGAGCCCUAAACAGACUCACAGAAGGUCUCAGCCAAAGGGGCUCUAGAGACCGGGGGGCCCAUCUCACAGAUGGGGAAACCAAGGCCCAGGGAGAAGAGGUUCAUUCAGGAAUACGCAGCAGAUCACAGACCCUCAGAACUCGACGGGCCUCCAGGCUGCUCCCUGCCAGAUGGGAACUCGCAGAGCAGCCACGAGACAGCGGAAGGGGCAGGGGCAGGGGCAGGGGCAGGGUCUGCCGUCUUCCUCUGGGACUCGCCCCAUCUUGAGCCGAACAGAUGAAACCGUUGACAGUGAAGCCUCGCCUGGGAGGACUUCAGCUCACAGCACGUGGGCCGGCCUGAAAGGGAGGACCCAGGGAAGGGGUGCUGGGAGGGCUGGGGACCCGGCAGCUCCUGGCCGGCAUCCUCUAUGAACUGCAGCAAUUCAUUAUCCUUCCUCCAGCUGAUGAGGAUGAUCAGGAGGACAAUUAGUCUUGGAAUUACCGCGGAGGAGACCGUUAAGAGAAAAAUAAAUUAAAAAGAAAUCCAUUCGAGGUGUAAUUGUAAUACAGUGUAUCAUAGUCAAUUGAAUCACAAAUACAAGCUGGUCCCUUGUCGAUUGAUUUCAGCAAGUAAACAAUUUGGGUAUCUAAAUUGGAAACUCGCCGGGAAAAGGAGCAAUGAUUUGGUUAAAGGGAGAACUGAAAACGUCAGGCCAAAAAUUGGUUCUAGGUGUCUGGCUGCUACAGGACUGUGCAGGUGACCCUAGAUGGGAGGGAGGUCACCAGCUCCUCCCUGCCUGCAGGUCAAGGUCACCCCAUCUGGAAGCUACCUAGACCCCAGCAAUGUUACCUGACCUGUGACACCUUUGUUCCUGUGUCCUCCUCUGUGCCGCCCAUGGUGAAUGUGGCUUCUCUGUCUACAUGGAUGCACUCCCACCACACUGGGAGCUUCUGGGGCACAGGAGUCCUGCUUUACUUCCUAUGUUGAGCCCAGGUAGGUGGGGUGGGGGUGCUUAGAAGGCAGCUGUCCAGAGAGCAAAUGAAUGAAUGGGUGGAUAUGUGGGGGACAGGUGGCGAAAUGAAUGAAUGAAUGCAUAGAUAGGGGAUGGAUGGAUGGAUGAGUGGGUUGGUGGAUGGGUGGAUAGAUGGGUGGGUGGAUGGAUGGGAGCUGGAUAGGGAAUGGAUGGGUGGAUGGUAGAUGAAUGGGGGAAUUGGAUGAAUAGAUGGAUGGGUGAAUGGGGGAAAGAUGGGCAAAUGUCUGGGGAAUGGAUGGGUGAAUGGAUGGAUGGGUGGGUAGGGGAUGGAUAGAUGGAUGCAUAGAUGGGGGAUGGAUGGGGAUGGAUGAGUGGAUGGAUAGAUGGGGCUUGGAGAGAUAGAUGGACAGGUAGGUGGGUGGGUGAGUGGAUGGAUGGGGAAUGGAUGGAUAAAUGGGAGAUGGAGGGAUAGAUGGAUAAAUGGCUAGAUGGGGAGGAAUGGAUGGAUACGUGGAUGGAUAGGCAUUGGAGGGAUAGAUGGGUGGGUGGAUGGGUGGGUGGGUGGGUGGAUGGAUGGGGAAUGGGUGAAUAGAUAGGGGAUGGAAGAAUAGAUGGCUGAAUGGAUGGAUAGGUGGAUGGAUGGGGGUUAGAGGGAUAGAUGGGUGGGUGGGUGGAUUGAUGGGGAAUGGAUGAAUGGAUGGAAGGAUAGAUGGAUAAAUUGAUGAUGGGGAAGAAUGGAUGGACAGGUGGAUGGAUGGAUGGAUGGAGGUUAGAGGGAUAGAUGGGUGGGUGGAUGGAUGGGGGUAUGGGUAGAUGGAUGGGUAGAUGGAUGGGGAAUGGAUGAAUAGAUGGGGGAUGGAAGGAUAGAUGGAUAAAUGGAUGGAUGGGGAGGAAUGGAUAGAUAGGUGGAUGGAUGGAUGGGGGUUAGAGGGAUAAAUGGAUGCAUGGAUGGAUGGGGAAUGGGAGGAUGGAUGGGGGAUGGAGAGAUGCUUAAACAGACUUAAAAGACUAAGGUAUUGACAGCAGGUAGCCAUUUCUCCCCCUCUGCAAGAACUUUGGACCUGAGAUUCCAGAGCCCUUUUUAAAUCUUCCAACAAGGAAACUAUUUUGUAGCAAAAAAAAAAAAAAAAAAAAAGCAGAGUCACACCUGAGGCCUCCAGAAUUCCCUGGCUUCCUCCAUCACCCUGAAGCAGGUGGCCUCCUGUGCAAUGAAGAGGGUGCCUGAAGACCCCAGUUAGAAACAAUGCCCCAUGCGGAGGGGGUGCUGUCCUACAGGAUGGGGUGUGUGCUGAGAACGAGGGACUUAUAUCUGGAGCUCCUUCUCCCCCAGGCAGAACCUAUGGGGUGGUGUCUCUCAUGGUUACAUUCUCCACCAGUUCACAUUCCCCUUCUAGGGACUGCCCAAGAUAAUGCCCAGUGCAGGAAUGUUUCCACCAGGGGUCACAGGAAUGGCUCUGCUGCCCUGGGGGCUGAGUUGGCCACCUGUCUGGUGCCACCAAGUUAACAAGCAAAGCAGCAUGAAGGCAGUGGCUGGGGAAUCAACCCUGAUUAUCAAGGAUAGGAGGCCUGAAGAACCACAUGAAGAGAGUGCCCACAACCCAGAGGAUCUCCUGGAUACAGCUGUGUUACCAUGAUGUCCAGUGGAAGACACCACAACCCCAUUCAGGAGGGACCUCCAAGCCUGAAAGCCUCAGAGUGAUGGUUUGACUCACACCACCAGUAAAAUAACUUCCAACAAGCUGAGCAAGAAGAAAAGGGGAAUUGUGGCAAAUUGCAUUUUCCGAAAAUGGUCACCUUACCACUAUUCCAUCAAGAGGUGGUGCUAUGGUUUGAAUGUGUCCCCCAAAGUUCAUGCGCUGAAAACUUUACGUAAACACAAAUGCAAUAGUGUUGAAUGGUGGGACCUUUCAACACUAUCGCAAGGGUGAUUAGGUGCUGAUGGCUCUGCCCUCAUGAAUGGAUUGUCAUUGUUGAGGGAGUGGGUUCCUGAUGAGAGAAUGGGUACAGCCUUUCCCUCUUUCUCACAUGUGCUCUUGUCCUUCUGCCAUAAGAUCAUGGAGCAAGAAGGCUCUUGAAAGAUGCCGGUCCCUGGACCUUGGACUUCCCAGCCUCCAGAACUGUAAGAAAUAAAUCUCUGUUCGAUAUGAAGUAUUCAGUCUUGGGUAUUUGGUUAUAGUAGCACAAGCAGACUAAGACAAGCAGAGUCUCCUUCCCCUCCUCUGGAACCUAGGGAGCUUGUGACUGCUCCAACCAAGAGAAUGUGAUGGAGGUGAUGCCAUGUGACUUCUGAGGAGAAGUCAUAAAAAGGAUGCAGUUUCUGCCUGGCUCACUCUCUUGAAAUGCUCCCCCAGGAGCCAGCUGCCAUCUUGUAAGGAAGCCCAAUCCACAUGGAGAGGAAAAGUGUGGGUGUUGGAUCCUCAGCCCCAGCUUAGGUCCCAGCAGACAGCCAGCAUCAACCAGGAAGCAUGUGACUGAGUGAGGCUUCAGGUGAUUCCAGCCCCAAGCCUUUGAGCCAAACCUGGGGGGCAGGAGGCUGGCAGGGUGAGUAAGACUAGGGAUAUGUAGGGCCAAAGGGAAGAGAGGACCCAUGUUCCUGCCCUGGUCCAGGCCCUGCAUUUUCAUUUUGCACUGGGACCCCCAAAUCCUGUGGCUGCUGCUGAGCGGAAGGGACUUCUCCAGUGAGCUCCCUCGGCAGAUCCAUGGCUCAGAGCUCAAGGGGCCCAGCAGUGUCCUGGGGCCCUAAGGCCAGCAGCCGGGAAGUUCCUGGGCAGUGGGUUCCCCAAGGCACGGUCCCCACAGCUCCCACAUGAGGAGGGUGCCAGGUCCAACCCUCCCACAGCAGCCUGAGCCUCCACGCCCUGCAAGCUUGUCCAUGUCACCCUCCCGGGCAGGAUUUGAGGCAGAGGUGUGUGAUCCAUGCUGUCUCCAUCGUACCAGAGACAGCCAGCAAGGAGGGCAGGAGAGAGAGGGCCACAGACUCCUGAGCCCUGGCCUGGCACAUGAUACCCACUGGACAGACACCUCUGGUCCACUGACUAUGCACCAACGUCAUGUUCUUUCCAUCACCUAUCAGGGGAACUUUCCCCAGAAGUUCAACAAUUCUGACCUUUGGGUUCCCAUAAAUUGUGUCCAGCCUGGGAACCAGAAGACCCAUUUUCAUUCGAGCUCUGCCAUGGAGGUGCUGUACGACUUUGGGGAAGCCCAGUCUCUCUCUGGGCCUUGGCCUCUCAAGAAGGAGGGGGCUAGUGAAGGUGCACAGACGCCCUCCCUCAGUGGCCUGCUGCCUCCCGAGGUGCUACCGUGGCACUGCCCUCCCGUCCACCCCUUCUCCUAUCCUGUCCUGUCCUGGCACCAGAUGGACACCUGCCAGGUGGGCCUGUCUGGCUGCGGCUGCUUGGCUGGGACAGCGGGCAGGGCUCUCAGCCUCCUGCUGCUCCAGACAGGGGACCUGAAGGUGACUGUGACCCUUCAGUCCUGAGUGGGGAGGCCGCGUCUGGCCAGGUGGUAGCAGCUGCUGCCAAGGCAGCACUGUCCUGGCUUCCCCUCCUGCUGGCUCUCAGACUGAACUCCUCACCCCAGAACACCUGCUCCCACCCAGGGCCCACCCCGGGGAAGUGCUGACGGGGCAGGGGCUCAGGGCAGCCAGUCACAGGGCUGCAUUCCACAGUGGGCUGACCUCCCACAUAGCCUCCAAGGUCACGCAGCUCACAGAGAGCGAAGGCAGAGCCCCCAGCCUGGUCCUCCCUCCCUGGCAGCCUGGCUCAGGCAUCUCCCUGCAGGCAAGCCCCUCCUCUCCCGGCUCCAUUUCCUCAUCUGUAAACUGUGCACGUGACCCCGGCCCACGGGCUGUCUCCCAGCUGCGUAGGAGACAAUUGGGUGGUGAGCACCUGGCCCCUCCACCAUCAAUUCUCGGCCUGCCCUGCCCCCAGAGCCUCCUCCCUCAGCCUCAUCAUGAGCCUCCCAGCAAAUGCGGCCUGCCUGGACUGAGUCUGGGCUCCUCAGCCUCUGGAGCCCUCACACCUGCAGCCAGGAGGUGCCAAAUCCAAUUUGCUCCCUGACACCUCCUCGGACAUCCUGGGGCCCGCCUGCUGCAGCAGCAAAUCUGAGAAGGUGGCAGCAGCUCGGGGGCGGACCGUCUGCCCAGCUCCCCUACCUAUCACUGAGCCCAGCAGUGCUGCCUCAGUGGUGUGUUUCUCAGGCCCCUGGGAAGAAAAUUGUUGAGAAAUAGCUUCACAGAAUCUCUAAAACCCUGAAGCACCAUGUGUGGUGCUGGCUUUGUGGGGGUUUCAGGCCUUGGCGGAGGGCGUGGGGCAGGGAGAGGCUGGGGCCAUCUCCUCCCUCUGCCUGAGCAGGAACCAGCAUCUGCAGACCUAGCUGGAUGCGCGUGGAAGGGGGCGCACUGUCUCCUGGGGGGGUCACAGACUCUGCCUGCCCUGCAGGGUCUGUUGUGGGCCCCCACCCUCAGUCCUUGGCUGAGGAGGGUGCUAGGGACGCCUCAGUGCUGGCCGCUGUGCUGACGCAGCCUGGGGCAGCUGGUGAGACGCUUUGCCCUCAGUGCACUGCCCACCUGGUGCCCUCUGUGCCACGGUGGGCGGAGCAGCCACUCUGCAUGGACCCUCCUGUUCUUGGGGGUCCUACUCCCUACUCCUGGGGGAACAGGUGCAGAGAAGAGGAGCCUGGGAUUGCCAUAGAGCAGGCUGUACCCUGCCAGGGACCCCCUUCAUGCCCCCAACGUGGAGCUGGGUGGCAAGCAGCAGAGAGGCCACAGCCUGGGAGCAGCCAGGGCCAAAGCCAGCCCUUUGCUUUCGGAGUGGGAAGCUGAGGUCUCAGGAGGGGCAAGGGCUUGUCCUAGGCCCUCAGGGAGGAAGACAAACGACCUCCGCCCAUCAAGGGCUCAGUGUGGCAUUCCAGGCCACUCAGGCAGCCUCCUCCUCGGGGAAGCCCCUCUUGGUGGGGGCUGGGACAGCCCCAGGCAAGGAGCAGUGCCCUGGCUCCACGCAGCACCAAGCCAGCUUCCCACCCCUCCACCACAGCAAAGCCCCCAGCAUGCCCCUCCCCAGCUGUGAGCACAGGUUCAUGUUCAUACACAAGCUCACACACAGCCACACUCACUCCCCAGCAAGCCCCAGCCUGCCGCCUGCAGUCCUGUUGGCCUCCAUUCCCAUCCACAUCCCACCCAGGCUUCAUCUCAGGGGUCCCUGACAGGUGAAGACAGGCACGUGGCUGGAUAAGCCACAGCGGUUUAUUCGGGUGCUCAGCUGGGGCCGACACAGGGGCGAGU